UACGUAGGGGGCUAGCGUUGUCCGGAUUUAUUGGGCGUAAAGAGCGUGUAGGCGGCCAGGUAGGUCUGCUGUGAAAACUCGAGGCUCAACCUCGAGACGUCGGCGGAAACCAUCUGGCUAGAGUCCGGAAGAGGAGAGUGGAAUUCCUGGUGUAGCGGCGAAAUGCGCAGAUACCAGGAAGAACACCCGUGGCGAAGGCGGCUCUCUGGGACGGUACUGACGCUGAGACGCGAAAGCGUGGGGAGCGAACAGG
rnacentral:rRNA from 1 species